AAAGAAACAAAUCAGUUUAAUAUUAAAUGUUGUAAUAUUAGCGGUUUCUGUAGUAAUAAAGGACAAACAAUUUAAGUCAACUCAUGAUUGGUGCAGUGGACACCAAUCAAAAUUCUAGGAAACUGGAAAUAAAGCUAAAACACUAGGUCAGGCAGUAUGUGUGAAAGGAAACAUUAACAUUUUGGGUUGAUGGCUGCUGUUGGAAAAGGAAGUGUUGGAAAAUGAAUU